rnacentral:rRNA from 1 species
UACGAAGGGGGCUAGCGUUGCUCGGAAUCACUGGGCGUAAAGGGUGCGUAGGCGGGUCUUUAAGUCAGGGGUGAAAUCCUGGAGCUCAACUCCAGAACUGCCUUUGAUACUGAGGAUCUUGAGUUCGGGAGAGGUGAGUGGAACUGCGAGUGUAGAGGUGAAAUUCGUAGAUAUCGGAAGGAACAUCAGUGGCGAAAGCGGCUUCCUGGACCAGCACCGACGUUCAGGCACGAAAGCGUGGGGAGCAAACAGG